rnacentral:rRNA from 1 species
CUACGGGCGGCAGCAGUGGGGAAUAUUGCACAAUGGGCGCAAGCCUGAUGCAGCCAUGCCGCGUGUAUGAAGAAGGCCUUCGGGUUGUAAAGUACUUUCAGCGGGGAGGAAGGGAGUAAAGUUAAUACCUUUGCUCAUUGACGUUACCCGCAGAAGAAGCACCGGCGAACUCCGUGCCAGCAGCCGCGGUAAUACGGAGGGUGCAAGCGUUAAUCGGAAUUACUGGGCGUAAAGCGCACGCAGGCGGUUUGUUAAGUCAGAUGUGAAAUCCCCGGGCUCAACCUGGGAACUGCAUCUGAGACUGGCAAGCUUGAGUCUCGUAGAGGGGGGUAGAAUUCCAGGUGUAGCGGUGAAAUGCGUAGAGAUCUGGAGGAAUACCGGUGGCGAAGGCGGCCCCCUGGACGAAGACUGGCGCUCAGGUGCGAAAGCGUGGGGAGCAAACAGGAUUAGAUACCCUCGUAGUC